rnacentral:rRNA from 1 species
CGCCUGGGGAGUACGGCCGCAAGGUUAAAACUCAAAUGAAUUGACGGGGGCCCGCACAAGCGGUGGAGCAUGUGGUUUAAUUCGACGCAACGCGAAGAACCUUACCUGGCCUUGACAUGCAGAGAACUUUCCAGAGAUGGAUUGGUGCCUUCGGGAACUCUGACACAGGUGCUGCAUGGCCGUCGUCAGCUCGUGUCGUGAGAUGUUGUGUUAAGUCCCGUAACGAGCGCAACCCCUAUCCCUAGUUGCUAGCAGUUCGGCUGAGAACUCUAGGGAGACUGCCGGUGACAAACCGGAGGAAGGUGGGGAUGACGUCAGGUCAUCAUGGCCCUUACGGCCAGGGCUACACACGUGCUACAAUGGUGCGCACAGAGGGCUGCAAACCCGCGAGGGGGAGCCAAUCUCACAAAACGCAUCGUAGUCCGGACCGCAGUCUGCAACUCGACUGCGUGAAGUCGGAAUCGCUAGUAAUCGUGAGUCAGAAUGUCACGGUGAAUACGUUCCCGGGCCUUGUACACACCGCCCGUCACACCAUGGGAGUGGAUUGCACCAGAAGUGGUUAGUCUAACCUUCGGGAGGACGAUCACCACGGUGUGGUUCAUGACUGGGGUGAAGUCGUAACAAGGUAACCGUA